UAAAUGCUUUCUACUUUUGUUUAUUUUAUUUCGGUGUCGGGUCAUUUUUAGAAGAUAGUAAUUAAUAACUUGUGUAAUUAUCACAUUCUACUAUGAUACUUUGAUAUUGCCUUUAUAAUAAAUUUUCUAAAUGAACGCUUGAU
rnacentral:pre_miRNA from 1 species